rnacentral:tRNA from 1 species
CGCGAGGUGGAGCAGCUCGGUAGCUCGCUGGGCUCAUAACCCAGAGGUCGCAGGUUCAAAUCCUGUCCUCGCUA